UCAGCACCUGACCCAAAUCCAGUGACGUCAAUGGGUGUCUUUCCAUUGACUUCAGUGGGCUUUGGAUCAGUCCUUAA
rnacentral:miRNA from 1 species